UGCUAGGCGGUCAAGUCUGGGGAUCCGGAAAUGAAUUCUUCAGGAAGAAGAGGAGUCCUUCUGUCCCCAGUGUUACAGCUCGGAAUCAACAGCCAGUCUCAGACGAUCUUCAGUGAAACAGAUGUUUCUAUUACAGGAUUACUAGCCCCUAGCUAUGGAUCAAGAGGACUUCAACUCCCAAUUAUACCCUGAUGGUGAAAGUUAAGUUUGACUCAAGGACAUCAAUAACCCCAAUCAGCAAGCCCCUGAUGGGAAUGUGCAAAGUCACCCUGAAAGAAGAUUUGUCAAGAGAUCUGGAUCAGGCCAGCCUGUAUCUGCCUUGUACAUACCAGACCUCUAGGCCUGUCAUCAGAGAAAAAUCUACAGCAAAAAUUUACAAAGUGUUGUAAAAUUUAUACAAAAAAGUUAAAUUUUAGGCAUUCGUGAAAAUGCUCCCAGUUUAUGCUCAUGAAGGAAAAAAGUUCCCACAGCUGAACAUUAGGUGGAAAAGAGUCCAGCUUGGAGGUCUCCAUCAAGUCUCUGACCUCGAGAUUCAGUAACCCAGCAGAAGAGAAAGAGAGCAGGACUCGUGGGACCCACAGGGGUCCAGGCCACCAAGAAAGCACACCAGCAGCAUGGCUCUUGGAGACUCACAGAGACUGACGAAGCAACCGUUGAGCUUGCAUAGGUUUACACUAGGUCCUUCUGCAUAUAUGUUACGGUUGAUAGCUUGUGUUUUACGGGGAAAUCCUGACAGUGGGAGUGGGGAUGCUUGUCUGCUUCUGGGACCCUUUUCCUUCUACUAGGUUGUGUAGCCCAGACUUGAUGUAAGAGUUUGUCCCUGGUCUUAUUUUAUCUUGUUAUUCCCUGUUGUUGUCCCCAGGAGGCCUGCUCUUUUCUUGAUGGUGGGAGGAGUGGAUCUGGGGGAGAGGGGAGAUGAAGGGGGCGCUGAAAUGGAGGGAAAACUACAGUUGGGAUAUAUU